GAUGAACGCUGGCGGCGUGCCUAAUACAUGCAAGUCGAGCGAACAGACGAGGAGCUUGCUCCUUCGACGUUAGCGGCGGACGGGUGAGUAACACGUAGGUAACCUACCUAUAAGACUGGGAUAACUUCGGGAAACCGGAGCUAAUACCGGAUAAUAUUUCGAACCGCAUGGUUCGAUAGUGAAAGAUGGCUUUGCUGACACUUAUAGAUGGACCGGCGUCGGAUUAGCUAGUUGGUAAGGUAACGGCUUACCAAGGCAACGAUACGUAGCCGACCUGAGAGGAUGAUCGGCCACACUGGAACUGAGACACGGUCCAGACUCCUACGGGAGGCAGCAGUAGGGAAUCUUGCGCAAUGGGCGAAAGCCUGACGGAGCAACGCCGCGUGAGUGAUGAAGGUCUUCGGAUCGUAAAGCUCUGUUAUUAGGGAAGAACAAAAGUGUAUGUAACUGUGCACGUCUUGACGGUACCUAAACAGAAAGCCACGGCUAACUACGUG
rnacentral:rRNA from 1 species